rnacentral:rRNA from 1 species
UACGUAGGGGGCUAGCGUUGUCCGGAAUCAUUGGGCGUAAAGCGCGUGUAGGCGGUUCGGUAAGUCUGCUGUGAAAGUCGGGGGCUCAACCCUCGAAUGCCGGUGGAUACUGUCGGACUAGAGUACGGAAGAGGCGAGUGGAAUUCCUGGUGUAGCGGUGAAAUGCGCAGAUAUCAGGAGGAACACCAAUUGCGAAGGCAGCUCGCUGGGACGUUACUGACGCUGAGACGCGAAAGCGUGGGGAGCAAACAGG